rnacentral:rRNA from 1 species
CUCGUAGGCGGUUUGUCGCGUCGGGAGUGAAAACCCAGGGCUUAACUCUGGGCUUGCUUUCGAUACGGGCAGACUAGAGGUAUGCAGGGGAGAACGGAAUUCCUGGUGUAGCGGUGAAAUGCGCAGAUAUCAGGAGGAACACCGGUGGCGAAGGCGGUUCUCUGGGCAUUACCUGACGCUGAGGAGCGAAAGUGUGGGGAGCGAACA